rnacentral:rRNA from 1 species
UACGUAGGGUGCGAGCGUUAUCCGGAAUUAUUGGGCGUAAAGAGCUCGUAGGCGGUUUGUCGCGUCUGCUGUGAAAACCCGAGGCUCAACCUCGGGCCUGCAGUGGGUACGGGCAGACUAGAGUGCGGUAGGGGAGAUUGGAAUUCCUGGUGUAGCGGUGGAAUGCGCAGAUAUCAGGAGGAACACCGAUGGCGAAGGCAGAUCUCUGGGCCGUAACUGACGCUGAGGAGCGAAAGCAUGGGGAGCGAACAGG